GGGGGUCUAUGGGUGUCUAUGGGGGUCAAUGGGGGUCAAUGGGGGUCUCAAUGGCGCCCGUCUCCGCGAGGCCGUGUGUCGGCAGCUCUGUCAGCGCCGUCUGUCCUUCCCCACAGGGCUGAUGGCGGCCGUGACGUUGGACGAGUCCGGAGGCGGCCUCCAGGCACCCGGAGGAGGGAUCAGCCUCGUCUGCAAGGCCUCCGGAUUCACCUUCAGCAGUUUUGGCAUGGAAUGGGUGCGACAGGCACCCGGCAAGGGGCUGGAAUGGGUCGCAGGUAUUGGCAGCGCUGGUAGUGGCACAACCUACGCGCCGGCGGUGAAGGGCCGUGCCACCAUCUCCAGGGACAACGGGCAGAGCACAGUGAGGUUGCAGCUGAACAACCUCAGGGCUGAGGACACCGCCACCUAUUACUGCGCCAAAGGUGCUGGUCACGGUGACUCCGAUCCACGGAGCUGCUGGCAUAAAAAGCCAAAUUUUCGAGCAUGAGGUGGUG